AUUAUUCUGCCGACAUAAUGUUGGCCGCCGCUCAAGUAGCAAUUUAACAACAAGUAGACUUAUUCAGAGGUUAUUGGGCCCGUCCAGUUUAACUCCACAUACUGUUUUGAUUAGUAGUAGUAGU